UUCUGCUAAUGUUGGCGCUAUUGUAGGAAGUAUAAUUGCCAUUAUAAUUGUUGCUGUACUGGUCGCUGUGGGAGCUAUAAUUUGGAAACGAAAGUAUUAUAAGAAACCUGACCUCUCGUCUCUUGAAGAAAGAGAAUUCACCAGGCUGACCCCUGAAGAUAGUAUCACUGUUCAAGAGAAAGAUUAUACUAGCACAGAACAAAAUGGAGAUGCGACUUACUGUAACUUCAAUAUUGCACAAGUGAAUACAAAGAUUGCAGUUGACAACCUAAAUGAUUACCUGCUGUCUCACAAAGAUGAUUUUCUUAUUGAACAGUAUAGAAGUGUUCCAAAGCCAAAGAAUGUGACAACAGAUGUUGGAGUAAGUGAAGAGAAUAGAUUAAAGAACAGAUACAAAAAUAUCUGUCCAU
rnacentral:sRNA from 1 species